rnacentral:rRNA from 1 species
UACGUAGGGUGCAAGCGUUAAUCGGAAUUACUGGGCGUAAAGCGUGCGCAGGCGGUUGUGCAAGACAGAUGUGAAAUCCCCGGGCUCAACCUGGGAACUGCAUUUGUGACUGCACAGCUUGAGUGCGGCAGAGGGGGAUGGAAUUCCGCGUGUAGCAGUGAAAUGCGUAGAUAUGCGGAGGAACACCGAUGGCGAAGGCAAUCCCCUGGGCCUGCACUGACGCUCAUGCACGAAAGCGUGGGGAGCAAACGGG